UACGUAGGGUGCAAGCGUUAUCCGGAAUUACUGGGUGUAAAGGGUGUGUAGGCGGACUUGUGCGUCAGUGGUUAAAGACCCGGGCUUAACUCGGGAGAUGCCUCUGAUACGGCAAGUCUUGAGUAUGAGAGAGAGUGAUGGAAUUCCUGGUGUAGCGGUGAAAUGCGUAGAUAUCAGGAGGAACACCGGCGGCGAAGGCG
rnacentral:rRNA from 1 species